GGACGAACGCUGGCGGCGUGCUUAACACAUGCAAGUCGAGCGGUAAGGCCCUUUCGGGGUACACGAGCGGCGAACGGGUGAGUAACACGUGGGUGACCUGCCCUUAGCUCUGGGAUAAGCCUGGGAAACUGGGUCUAAUACCGGAUAUGACUCCAUAACGCAUGUUGUGGGGUGGAAAGCCUUGUGCGGCUAGGGAUGGGCCCGCGGCCUAUCAGCUUGUUGGUGGGGUGAUGGCCACCAAGGCGACGACGGGUAGCCGGCCUGAGAGGGCGACCGGCCACACUGGGACUGAGACACGGCCCAGACUCCUACGGGAGGCAGCAGUGGGGAAUCUUGCGCAAUGGGCGAAAGCCUGACGCAGCGACGCCGCGUGGGGAUGAC
rnacentral:rRNA from 1 species